rnacentral:rRNA from 1 species
CCUACGGGAGGCAGCAGUGGGGAAUAUUGCACAAUGGGCGCAAGCCUGAUGCAGCCAUGCCGCGUGUGUGAAGAAGGCCUUCGGGUUGUAAAGCACUUUCAGCGGGGAGGAAGGCGUUAAGGUUAAUAACCUUGGCGAUUGACGUUACCCGCAGAAGAAGCACCGGCUAACUCCGUGCCAGCAGCCGCGGUAAUACGGAGGGUGCAAGCGUUAAUCGGAAUUACUGGGCGUAAAGCGCACGCAGGCGGUCUGUCAAGUCGGAUGUGAAAUCCCCGGGCCCAACCUGGGAACUGCAUUCGAAACUGGCAGGCUAGAGUCUUGUAGAGGGGGGUAGAAUUCCAGGUGUAGCGGUGAAAUGCGUAGAGAUCUGGAGGAAUACCGGUGGCGAAGGCGGCCCCCUGGACAAAGACUGACGCUCAGGUGCGAAAGCGUGGGGAGCAAACAGGAUUAGAUACCCCGGUAGUC